CCAUCAGGUGAGACAGUCUCACCUGUCCUUCCUUCUGAAGGACAGACAGGAGUUUGAUGAUUGGAGUUUGUAUGGGAUGUGAUUAAUUUCUCUGCUUAUUAGGGUUUACAAGUUAUAAAUUGCUCCUAGCUGAU
ensembl:snoRNA U8 U8 small nucleolar RNA